rnacentral:lncRNA from 1 species
ACCUCGAUUAAUGUACUUUUUGUGAUUGAAGUGUAACAUGUUAGGUAUCGAAUCUGAGUGCACAAGUGUGCAUGUCUUUGUAAUUGAUUGACUGAUUAGAAAUGAUUGUUUCUGAAUGCCUAUCUGAGAUUCUGCUCCGAACUGGUGCAUCGACAUUCAUACAUUUGCAUUCAUUCAUCUGCAUAAAACUUUUUGGGUGGGAUUUUGAAGAGAAGGGAGAUUUACGAUUUGGCAUGUAGAAGGCCUAUUUUGCUCGGGCCUUUAAAUUUAUUUACAAAAAAUAAAUAAACCAAACAAAAAAAUAAAAUAUAAAUUAAAUUGUUUAUAGUCCAUAAAAUAUAAACCCAAAUCUUGAGCCCAAACCAAAAAUAAACCCAACCUCAGACCCAAACAAACAACCCAAAUCCCAGCUCAAAACCUAAAAACCUUUCAGCAAACCCUAGCUAGUCCAGUGCCACAGACCUCCACACGCACCACCACGCGCGCCUUCGUACAACCAUCUCCACGUCAGCCGAACCUGUGAGAAGGAGUAACAAAAUACAGCAAAUACACAGCAGUAGCAGAGAAAUAAUAGAAAAAGAAAAUUAUUUUUUUGUAAUUUAAUUUUCAUUCCGUUUUGGCUAUAAAAAGCCAAGAGAAUCGGUCUAAAAGAUACGGAUACAUACAAAUGAAAAAAGGAAUAUAUAGAGAGAUAAAAAGGUGAUUUAUUGAUGGAUUCUUGGUUUUUUUUCUUUUAUUUCUUCCUUUAUUUUGAAUUUAUCUGACGAAUAUGCAAAAAGAAAAAGUAAAAGGUUUUCUUAUCUGUUGUUUGGAGUCAAUCUAGCCAACAUUUGCUUCUCCGGUUCAAAGGUUGACAGAUCCUUGUGGAUCUGGUUAAAACCGCGACGGAGGUGGAGGUGCAUUAGGUGCCGAUGAAGCCUACAGGUCGUCUGAGAAGGAGGAGAGGUUAAAGGGGUUUGAGAAAAUUUUUUGAAGGUCUUUUGAGAGAGUCAGCCGAAUAGAUUUUUAGGGCAAACUUUAGUAUAUAUAUGUUCAAAAACAAUGUCGUUUUAAGCCGUGAAUGUUAGCGUCAAAACGGCGCCGUAUAGUGGCAUGACCUGAUGACCUGACCCAGACUCGGCCAGAUCCGCAUGUUUUGGGUCUUUGAGGGUUAUUUGCGCGACAAGUCCCUCCCUUCCUGCGCUGAUAUUAUUUAAUUCCCGAUUACAUUUUAUUUAUUUUUAUAUUUUCCCUAGGAUUUGUGCAGCGUUUUCGGUUUAAUCCCUAUUUAAACGUUGUGUUUUGUGAGUUGGGACAUUUUUAUUUUUAGUCCCUGCUUAUUUAGGCGCAUUUCAUUCUAAUCUUUAACUAUGUUUGAGCAAUUUUAUUUGUUUUGUAAAUUGUUUUCUUAGUUUUAUUUUUUUUUCAAUUGAGUUUUUCCAAUUUAUGUUUUUUUAAUGUUUUUUAAAAGUAUAUUAUUAUCCAUUCUUUUGAAAUUAUCUUAUCAUAAUUUUUUAAAGCUAUUUUAUUGACUUUAUAUUGAUUCAAGUUUAUGAUUUCUUUUAUUCAUAUAUAUUUUCUUUAUUAGUUCUAUUAUGUAAAAUUUCUAUUUUAAAAUUUCUUUAUACGUGUCAUUUCAUUCUCAAAAUUUAUUUAAUAUUUAUUUUAAAUAAUUUUAUAUGCUAUUAUAUUAUACAUUAUUUUGUUGAUUUCAUAUUAUUUUAUAUAUAUAUAUAUAUCUUUUCGAAUUUAUUCACAUAUAUAUAUAUAUAUAUUUUAUUUAUACAUAAUUUAUCUCUUUUAAAGAUCCUAUUUUAUUAUAUAUUUUGUUUUUAACCCUUUCAUCUAUUAUUCUUAUACAUGUAUUAGUUCUAGUAAGCUUUGCAUUUUAUGUAUGUUAUCGAUUUUAAAACGAUAUAUUUUGUUUUUGAAUAUUUUGAAUUUCAUUUAUUUCGAACUUCUUUUUAUGUAAUAGUUAUUUUAAAACUCACCCAUGUAAUACUCCCUUUUAUAAUAUAUUUUACUUCAAAUUCUCUCAUAUGUUUUUUUUUUUAAAUUUUUGUGCAUAUAAUGUAGGUUAAAAUCAUAAAAUUUGUUUUAUAUUUUAUUAGUUUUCCAUGUAAAUGUUAUAAAGUAUACAUAUUUUUUGAAAAAAGGGGUUCAUUAAGCUUUGAUUGUUAAUAUCGUUUUAAUAUGAAGGGUUGGAAGGUUGUUUUAUUCAAUAGUGUAAUUUUAUAUUGUAUUCACAUAUAGUUAUUCUGUGCUUGAUACCAUGCUUUUAUCUCCGACGUAUUUGGGCCUAUUUUAGUAGUUUCAUUCUUUUAUAUCCCAAAUGAGCUAAAUAAAUACGUUAUGAGCUAGUUUUAUAAUUGUUUAUUUAAAAAUUUCUCGAAACAAAGACAAUGUUUUAUGUUUGAAAAUUUGAGAAAUCGUGCCCUAAUGUGUUGAGUUCCGAUUUUUCUGUUUAACCAAACAACAAAAUGUCCUUUUAUGAUUUCGCGCGUGAUUUCGCGCGUGUUUUCUUAAAAACAAGGCAAUGUUCUAUGUUUGGAAAUCCGAGAAAUCGUGCCCUAACGUGUUGGGUUUCGAUUUUUUGUUGGACCAAAUAGUUAGAUAUCCUUUUGUAAUUUUCAAAUGUAUGAACUUUUGAGAUCAAGAAUCAAUUGUGGUUUCGAGGGUUUAAAAGGUCAUGUCCUAACGUAUUGGAUGUGAUAUUUUAUUCCUUCGAAACAAGAGAAUUUUAGCAUCCAAUUCGAGUUGCUCAAAUGUUUUAAAAGAAACUGUAUUUCAAAAUCUUUUCAAAUUUUAGACAUAAGGACAUUAUUUAAUCAAUUAGGUACCGAUUCUGGGCGUAAUGAGGGUGCUAAUCCUUCCUCGUACGUAACCGACUCCCGAACCUAUUUUCUUGAAUUUCGUAGGCCAAAAUUGAUAUUUUAAUAAAAUAAAAUGUUUUAUUAGGUGAUCCGAUCACACCUAAAAAAAAGGAUUGGUGGCGACUCCAUACCUCAUUUUAAAGUCGAUCCCCGUUUUUCAAAAUAAAAAAAAUGGUUUCGACAGCUUGGCGACUCCACUGGGGACACUAAAGAGUCGAGCCAUAAAUUAGUUAAUUUUUGUCCUUUUGUUGAAAACUGAAAAUUUGAUUUGAAAAAUUAUGAUUCUUUUACUGCGUUAGUUUUGGUUUGAGUCCCAUAGAAUACUUUUGCAUUACAUUGCAUGAUCAUUGUGGUUACACCUUUUAAGUGGGAGUGAGAAGUCAUGCCUUCGUGAGGUUCUCACCUCCGCACUGGCUAAUAGACUGCUUUUGGAAUACAUCCGUACCUAUGUCUUCUUGAGAUUUUCAUCUCCGCAUGGCUAUAGGGAAAUGUAUUCCCUUGAGCUGAACUCGAUCCAUAUGAGCCUAUAAUGGGCGAGGAUUGAGGAAUCUGCUAGUUCAGGUACCCUUUCUUUAGAACCGAACCACAUAUAGAGAGACUUAGGCGCCUACCCUAAGUAGAGCCACGCCAAAUCCUAGGUCACUCGGUUAGACGUUUUAUAUUAUUUUUCUCUCUUCUGUACUAACAUGUUUUGUUUUGUCUAUGAUUGCAUUACAUUACAUCAUCAUAAAAAGAAGGUGUCGAUUCAUAUUCGAUUGAUAAAUAGAACAGCUUGUCGUGAGAAAAUGGAUUUCUUGAUAAAGUGGAUUAUAAUAUGGUUGUCUGAAUAUGGUCCAAGUAAACACAAUAAAAGAAGGUUGGUAGUCCAUGGAGGAAUACAAAAUUUUGUUUUAUUGUCUGAGGUUUUAGGCCAACAAGGUUUGUUCGAGAUCUGUCACGUCAACUUUCUUAAAGGAGUUCAGGAGCAUUGCAAGGAUAAGUGAGCAAUGGGUCACAGCUUGCAAGCAAAACAGAAAAUAGAGACAUCUUUUGGAAAAGCUACAAGACUCAACCAUAACAUCCGAAUAUGGAGAAAAGAGAGGUGUCUCUACCUGGACUAUUAGGGCAAUGCCACAUAUGUAAUCCAUUUUAUGUAAGGAAAUUUGUUUUCUAGAAAAAUUGUUCUAAUGGAAUUGAAUUUAGAAUCAACGCCUCUCUUUCUUUGCAUUCAUUCCAUGCAUCUGCAUUGCAUUGUAUCAUUUUCAUCAAACUUUCACAAAAGGACCCUAAUUAGGUAAAAUUAUUUCAAUUAACCUGGGAACUGACAAAAUUCAAACGACUAAGUAUCUUUACGGUACAUGAAAAAAGACCAAAGAUAUGGAUCAAAGGUUGGAAAGACUUGAACAACUUCAGAGAGAGAUGCCAGAUAAGUUACAAAUGAAAAUGUAAGAGAAGCUAGCUAAGAUUCAACAAGACAUGAUGGACAAAAUGUUGGAGUCUCAAAGAAAUAUAAUGACUCAGUUGACUCAAUUGUUGGCUGGGAGAAUGGAUAAAGGAAAAAGCCCUAGGGUCAAUGCUGGAGAAGGCAAUGAGGAUCCUCUCUGUCAUUCGGGUUUCUCCCUGACAAAUCUCAGACAUGUCCGCAAGGUGUACCUAUUGCUAUCAGAUCUCAAUAAUAUCAGGCCAGUACCUUGGCACUAGUGAAUUACCCGAUAGGCUCAAGCUUCAAUCUGAGGGGCAAUCCAAGCAUUCCUGUAGUUCCUAAUUUAGACGAAAUGGAAAAACCAAAGAUGGAACUGCCAAAGCAACUCGAGGAUCUGUAUAGGUGGUUGGAGGAAAAAUUUAAGGCAAUAGAGAAUGUUGACUACCAUUGUGGGAUUGACUACAAUGGGACUAGUUGUCCUGAAGCUCACGUCACAAUGUUCUGUCGAAGGAUGACAUGAUAUGUUAACAACGACCAACUAUUAAUUCAUUGCUUCCAAGAUAGUCUGAUCAGGUCAGCAACUAAAUGGUACAAUCAAUUGAGUCGUGCUAGAAUCAAUUUAUGGAAGGACUUAGCACAAGCUUUUAUGAAGCAGUAUAGCCAUGUAACGGACAUGGCACCCGACAGAAUUACCUUACAGAAUAUGGAAAAGAAGCAAAAUGAGAGCUUCAGGUAAUAUUCCCAAAGAUGGAGAGAGGUAGCAACACAGGUCCAGGCGCCUCUUCUGGAAAAGGAGACCACAAUGCUUUUCAUCAAUACUCUAAAAGCCCUGUUCAUUAACUAUAUGUUGGGAAGUGCUACUCUGAACUUUUCAGAUAUAGUAAUGUCCGGUGAGAUGAUUGAAAAUGAGGUAAGAAGUGGGAGAAUAGAUGUGGUAGAAAGCAUUAAAAGGUCAACCCCGAGAAACAAGGAGAAUGAAGUGAACAUCGUGAGCAUGCCUUCCAAAUUGGUCAACAUAGGCCAGCCGAGGGCUAUAACCACUAGCUAUCAAGGCUUUUCAAGGCAGGAAUCCAAUUCGAGGCCAAAUACAGAAAGGCUCCGAUUUACACCCAUCCCGAUGUCAUAUAAAAAGUUGUAUCAAAAUCUUUUUGAUGUGCAUGUGAUGUCUCCGUUCUACUCGGAACCCAUGGAACCUCCGUUUUGAAAAUGGUAUAAUGAGAAUGCUUAAUGCGAGUACCACGCGUGAAUAACGGGGCACUCAAUUGAAAACUACACUACAUUAAAAAGUUGGUCGAAAGGUUCAUUGAAAUAGGAAUUGUGAAGUUUGAUUAUUCCUCAGAACCUAAUCGCUCUGACAAUAAAGUAAAUGCGAUAUUUGAAAGUGAGGAAAAAAUAGUUACGAUGCCUUGAACAAGUCAAAAGCCUGGAAGGAAUAUCGGGGAAUCUAAAUGACAUAUCCAAAGAGGAAACCGGGAAUAAAAGUUUCCAAACCUUUGCAUACUUAGGAGUGUUUUGAACAAUAGGACUGUAGAAGAGAUUCUUGUAUUUUUAGAGCUAAUCUAGAGUAAUAUUCAAAACACGCUUGUUGCUUUAAGCCUAGAAGCAAUAAGAAUCCUUUUGUGAAAUAGCCUUGUGUUUAAAAUCUUUAUUUCAAUAAAAUGCAUCUUUUUGAGCAAAUAUUCUUUCAUUAUUUACAUAUUCUUUUGUUCUUUGGACUGUCUUCUAAAUAUGCUUUUAUUCUUCAUUCAUUAUCAUACCAUACAAAUUAUCAUUCUUAGAAUCAUUUAUUCUUUGGAAUUUGCCUUUGUACCUACAACAGGUUCCCAGAUAUCAAUGACAUGAGCGACGCUGUCACUGACUCAAAGUCUCCUUUUGGGUGAGAUAUGUGUUUAGGGGGAUCUCAGGACUUUAAAGAUGACAGGAAUUGUAACUCAUAUCCUGAUUUGUUAAGGACAGUAGAAGAAGAUGAAAAACAGAUCCUACUUUACAAAGGGUCAGUGGACAUUGUGAGUAAAGGACAAAGAUCAGAGCUUGCAUCACCACAAAGACAAAGAGAAUCGUCAUUGAGUUAUUCAAAGAAUUCAAAGAUGCUUUCGCAUAAUCAUGUCAAGAUAUACCUGAGAUAUUAAGACCUGUGGUCGUUAGAAAAUGUCUAUACGGGUGUCAGAAGGAUACAUGUUAAUGGUUUCAUAGCUGCCGCCCUAAUCAUGAGGUUUGGGUACUGCUGAUCCACCAUGGAAGGAGAUUGUAUUAGUUAGGUUGUAUUUAGGAAUACAAGAUUCACUUGCCUCAUUCAUUCCUUCACAGACUUUCCCUAUGUGGGUCAUGGACAUUAUCAAGCCUUUCUUGUCAAUAUACAUCAAUUCAUCUUGGUAGUCAUCGAUUACUUCAUGAAGAGGGUGAAAGUCGCUUCAUAUGCCAAUUUUACAAAGUCGAUAGUCAUCAAAUUCCAAAAAAAAAAGUGCCGACAAGGAAUGUCAGAAGAAAUCAUAUCUAAUACAAUUGCACAAUGUCAAAAGCUUACAGUCUAUUCAAAAAAUUAGUAAUGUAUUAAUGAUUAUGAAUUGUAUUAAUUUCGUAGUCAAUGUGGUACCGGAAAUGUCAACUAAGAAAGGACAAGACAAAGUCAACGGGAGUUAGCUCGAAAAUUACGGUUUGUAUUUCUAUAACCCGAACUUAAUAUUUAAUUAUUGAAUUUAUUAUUUAUUAUGUAUGGUAGGUGCAUUGAUUAAAUUAUUUGAAAUAAAAUGAAUAUUGAUUGAAAUUGAAGGGUGAAUUUAAUUAAUAAUUGUUGUAUUUUAAUUGAAUGUUAUGGUAAAUAAUUAAAGUAUGAAUUAUUGGUAUUGUGUUUUUAUUGAAAUGAUUUGAUUUGAAAAUGUGGUGAAAUAAUUAUGAACAUGUGUUUAUUGUGAAAUUGAAUAUUUAUUAGUGAAAAGUGAAUGGAAUUAUAUUGAAUUGAAAAAAAAAUUAAUUAAUUAAAAUAUGAAUUAAUUGAAAACUGAAAAGUGAAUUAAAUACCCUAUUAACUAGUCGGGCUAGUCGGAUAUAGUUGGCAUGCCAUAGGAUAUGAAAGAGUACGGGUUUUUGCCGACUUACUGAUCAGGCAAUUAUGUGCCGACUACUGUUACUGUUACCGUUACUGUUACCGAUUCGGCACUUUGUGUGUCGGAUAUUGUUACUGUUACCGUUACUGUUACUGUUUCAGAUUUGUUCCAAUGAGGUACUCUGUGUACCGUACUGUUACUGUUCCGGAUUUGUUCUGAUGAGGUACUCUAUGUACCGUAUUGCUACUGUUACUGUUACUAUUUCGGCUUCGGCCGAUGAGGCACUAUGUGCCGUAUUGGUGUGUUGGUUGGAUCCGUGUAUCCGUCUGAGUCCUAGUCAUGUUAAUAGGGGUAAAUAAAGGAACUGGAAAGAUCGACUGUUACUGAAUAAUUUAAUUGUUACUCAAUAACUGAUUAUUAUUGAAUAAUUGAUUGUUACCGAAUAACUAACUGUUACUGAAUAAAUAAUCGUUCUGAUUGACUGGUUGUUAAUGAAUAUUACUGAUUGAUUAAUUGCUAUUGAAAAAUAAUAAAUGAUUUUUAAUUUAAAGUAGAACAAAACAUUGGUUGGAAAGUGAAUGUUUGAAUACUCAUUGAGUUUGAAUUGUUCAAUAUAUAAAAAUUAAUAUGUUUUAUAAUUGUUUAAGUGUUCAGAUUAUAGAAAUACCACUGAGUGUAUACUCAGCGUACGGUUUGUUUCCGUGCGCAGGUUAAGGUUAGACCGUUGAAUCAGCAUCCCAGGCCGAUCCUGAAUCCAAUAAGGUAAAGUAUGUUGAGUAUUGGUAAUGGCACGUACCUAGGAUGUCUUAUAAGAGUCAUUUAGGUUGUGAAAGUAUUGAUAAAAUAAGUAAAUUAUGGUUGGCAAUUGUAUAUAGUAUGAAUUUGAAAUUUGAAAGAAAAAUUCGUUGUAAUUCAAAAUUAGUUCCGAAUUGAUUUUACUGUUCAUAUUAGACCGCAAGGGCCCAUUAAAGGGACGACAUCUUAAAAUUAUGAUGAGUCUGAACGUUUAUAUUUAAUUAAUGUUUGUAUUGUACUGUACUGACUGGUAAUAUCUCGUAACCCUGUUUCGAUGACAGUAGGGGGUUAGGGGACUUUACAGUAAUGGUAUCAGAGCUAUUAGGUUUAGCCGAUUCUCGGACUAAAUUGAGCUCGGAAUUGAGUCUAGAGGUACAUGCCAUAAUUGAGUUGAAAUUGAAUCGGGAUCGGAUGCUGAUAUAUUUGUAUGUCUCUGUUUUGUAGUGAAAAUGUUAGACGAAAAUAUUGAUAGUAUUGAUCUUGAAAUGUUUACUGAAAACGAAAAACCUCGUGAAUUAGAUAAAAACUGAAUUGGCAACACUGAGUAAUAACUAUAACACCCUGAAUUUGGGCCUAGAAGUAUUGAGCCUUGAGUUUGGGUCCGUAAGGAGGUUAUAUAUAGGUAUUUAAUUGUGCAAUGAAAUGACACAAUUAAAUGUCUGCUUUAGUGGUUAAUGGCCCUGAGAAGUGUUGUAGAAAUCUUGGCUUCAAACUUGGGCUUUAGCAAAAAUUUUGGUAUUAAGUGAAAAAAAACCUGGAUGCUUGGAUGAGGGCCUUUUAAAUUAUUGUGUUAAAUAAAUGACACAAGGAAGCUUGUGGUCUAGUGGUUGUGGCGUCAUUAAGGUUGUAUGGGAGCCUGGGUUCAAGCCUUGGCUCUUGCAAUUUAUUCUGGUUUUUUUUAAGGGAACUUGGACUUUGGCCUUUAGACCUUAUAAUUAAUUGGGGAUAAAAUAUGACACAAAAAGAGCCUGUGGUGAAGUGGCAAGGUGGCGUCAUAGAGUUGGUAAGGAGGUCCAGGGUUCGAAACUCAUGGCAAUCAAAGAGCAUUUAUUUUGCUAACAGGGGGCGGCAAGAGUUGGUGUUGAAUUUAAACUCUGAUGUUGGAGGGAUCCUACAUCGGGAAGCUAACAUAAGAGGGGAUGCGAAGCUGGCUUUAAAUAGAGAGAACCAUGAGGAGAGUAGAGGUACCUUUCUUGGCUGAUCCCUUUCGCUUUAUGGCGUGCUCGUUUGGGUUGGGCGUCGGCUUACACUGCUCAGAGCGUGGAUUAACUUCAGUCUCCAAUCAAGUGUGUAUUUCUCACUACUCUAGUUGUAGGAUGGCUACUUCGGGCCAUGUGGGCCCAAUGGGCCUACGGGCCCAAUUGGAUAAGUUGUUUGAUUGUGCAAUAAAUAUUGGACUAGGCUAGGUGAAUCUCAUAUCUGUGGCUAGAUUUGGGCUAAAAGGGCCACACGAGCGUAUGGGCCCAUUUGGGUCGAGAAGGGCUUUAGGCCCAUUCGUAUUGUUAUCCCUGUUUAGAAUACUUUAGUUUACCAAAUUACUGAAAUACCCCCAGUUGUAAAAUUACCAAAGUACCCCUGGUUUAUAAAACUUUCCAAAUAUCCUCGAUUUAUAGAAUUACCGUUUUAUCCUCGAUUUACAAAAUUACCGUUUUACCCUUGAUUUACAGAAUUACCAUUUUACCCUCGAUUUAUAGAAUUAUCGUUUUACCCUCGAUUUAUAGAAUUACCAAAAUACCCUCGAUCAGUAAAUUUACAAAAAUACCCCUGGUUUGUAAAAUUACUAAAAUACCCCUGGUUUGUAAAAUUACCAAAAUACCCCUGAUUUGUAAAAUACUAAAAUACCCUUAUAGGGUAGAAUUACUGAAAUACCCUUGUAAGGUAGAAAUACUGAAAUACUCCUGUAGGGUAGAAUUAUUGAAAUACCCCUGUAAGGUAGAAUUACCGAAAUACCCCUGUAGGGUAGAAUCACUGAAAUACCCCUAUAGGGUAGAAUUAUCGAAAUACCCUUGUAGGGUAGAAAUACCAAAAUACCCCUGUAGGGUAGAAUUACCGAGAUACCCAUGUGGGGUAAAAUUAUCAUUUUUCCCCUAGGGUGUUAAAUGACUGUUUUGCCCUUGUGGGCAAGUGACUGACUUGGACUGUGUGGUUGACGGAUUUGAUUGUGAAUAUAAGUUGGUGAUAUGAAUGACUUGAAUGUGAUUGUUUGAUUCAAAUAUGGGCAUGACAUUCUGCAUACAUGACAUGUUGCAUGGGUUGGGUUUGAUAUAAAUGGAGGAAGUGCUAAAAGGGUUUUGCUCCAGUUUACCGAAAAGGACUUUGCCCCAGUUUACCGAAAAGGGCUUUGCCCCAGUUUAUCAAAAAGGGCUUUGCCCCAGUUAUUAAAAGAGGCUAGGCCUCCAGUUAUAUGAUAAAGUAGCUAUGCUACCAGUGGAGAGUUUGGUUGGGUGGGUUGAGUUAUUCUCCACAUAGAGAGCUUGGUUGGUACGGAUAGAGAGUAGCGGAUGGUGGGUUGAGGAGUCUCCCCAAAUGGGCUUGCAUAUAUCUAUUGAUAUUACAUGUGAUAUUGAAAUGGGCCUAUGGGCCACACCGUUUACAGUAAAGGCUUCGGCCCAGUGAUAUGAUUUAUGAAAAGGCUUCGGCCCAGAACUGUUAGACGAAAGGCUUCGGCCCAGUAUAUGUCGAGACUGAAUAGGGCUUUGGCCCAGAUUGUACUGAUACUGUGUUAUUCACUGUUUGUUUGUUAUUGGGAUUACACACUGAGUUUUCGUAAACUCACCCUAUUUUUAACUAUGCAGGUAAUCCCUAAGCUUAGAUGGUUUGGAGCUGCGAGGGACUCGGAGAUGGCCACACACAGUUUCUGUUUCUUGUAAUUGUAAUUAGAUUUCGUUUUAGGUUUUUUUAUGUAAUAAGACCGUUGGUGGGUUUUAAGUUUUAAUUUGGAUUGUGAUUUCUUAUACUAAACUACCAGCCUAGGAAAACUUGAGAUUUCAAAAUGGCAUGAUUUUUCUAAGGAAUGCGAGCUUCCAACAACAAAGUUUUCAAAAUGCUUCUGCGAUUUUAAAUGAGGUAAUAUACCAAAGGCAAACAAAUUGGUAAACGUUUUGAUGAGAACUUUAGUUUAAUAAUAAUAAAGGAAUUUAGAUUCAGUAAUGGAUUUUCACCGGAACGGUCAAAUUUGAAAAAUGGUUUGAUGUGACACGCCAGAUUCGGCCAUAACGUCUAGGUCGAGUUUGGGGUGUUACAAUAACUGAAUAAGUAAUUAACUACUGAGUGUCCACUGAGUGUUGAAUAAUAUAAUAAUAGAGAAAGAGAUAAUAUGUAACUGUUUAGAAUUAUAACCGAUGCUCUUCAGUGAAUAGAAGAAACUGUAUCUGUUAUGAUAUUUACCCCUCCUGUUUCUCAAUCGGUUCCUGAAGUGCUUCAAGGUACAUAAUUUGUCUGAACGAGUAAGAUAUCUGCUAUUAAUAAUCUGUACAUAUAGUGUGGAAGAAUUGAAAAUUAUAGCUGAAAAUGAUUUUAAAAGAAAUGAAAUCUGGUUAGAGAAUAUUAUCAGGGCUAUAAAUGAAUUGUUUUGUUCGCCAAAUAAAUGUCAGGAAGGUAUGGUAUUUUUACUAAAAGAUUCAAUUUAGUAGUGGUGGAAAAUAUUGAUUUAUGCUGUGACUAUGAAAGGGUUAUUUGAAACUUUCUGAAAUUAGUCCUAAGGGAUUCUUGAAGCUUAAACAAGGUCAUAUGAUUGUAACUGAGUAUGAAGGGAAUUUGUUUAAUUAAAUAAGUAUAUCAUAGGGUAUAUUCUGAUAGAAACUAUAAUGUACAAGUGGUUUGAAGAUGGUUUAAAUGAAGACAUAAAGCUGAAGAAUGUAGAAUAAAAAGUGGAAUAUGUGAUUAGAUAUGAUUCUUCUGAAUAUUAUUUUAGUGAUUGCUCGAAGAAAGUUGAAAAGAUAUUAUUCAGAAUUCAAGACCAGCAACACAGCUAUCAGAGGCAGAUUACUCUGUAACUCCGGAAAUACGGGUGAUAUUCGAAGUGUGAUAAAGGACUUCACUGAAAAAUCUAAUGCAUGAACAUUAGCCACGGCAUAUGUUAAUCGUAUAAAAGAAGAUAUUUCUCUGUCGGAUGUCAUUACAGCAUCCAUUAAAGAUUUUCCUGUUGAGUUCGCUGAAUUUUUAGUUGAAGUAUCAAAUUUUCAGGUCAGUAUUUAUUGAUUAAUAGAAUCUGCAUGAACUAUCUGAUAAUGAUACUAAGGUACUAUUUUUUGAUCGAUUUGAUGUUAUUAUUGUUCGAUGUGAUUCUGAGAAUGGAAUGGUUAAUUUUGCACGAUGUUUGUGAUAAAUUAUAAGCAGAAGUAUAAUAUGUUGCAAGAUCAGGAUGAUGAAAUAUUUUGUUUUGAACAAGAGAAGAUUGAAUGAAUGGUUUAUUGUGAUAUUAAUUAUCAACACAGAAGUGUGCCAGAAAAAGGUUCAUGGUAUUUACCUUGUUUAUGUAUUGAAUAUUAAAGUAUUUAAGUUAAGGUUUAAAUCAGUGGCAAUAGUGCGAGAGAAUUUUGAUGUGUUUCAAGAAGAGUUGCCCGAACUACUGUUGAUUGAAGAAGUUGAAUGUGCUAUAGAUUUUGUGACUGAGAUGUUAGUGAAAAAUAUAUUUGAAAUCAAAGGUUUUCUAAAACUAGUCAGUUAUUACAGAAAGAUGUGGAAUUAGAAUGAUCUGAUAGACGUUAGCAAGGUUCUAAUUAGUUGAAAGCUCAGUUAACUGAAGCACUAGUUCUGGUUCAGUCUAAAAUCCGGUAAAGAAACUUGUGAUUUACAGGGAUAGCAGUGUUUUGAUGCAAAAAAAAAGUGAACUAAUGGUUUAUAUUACGAAAUGUUAGAAUCACAUGGGAAGAAUUAUUUGAUACCUGAUUCGGAAGUGGUAGUUAUUGUUCUUGCAUUAAAAGAUCAAGAUAUGAUAAUUAAUUAUCAUCCGAGAAAGACAAAUGAAUGUAUGUAUAUUCAGAAUUGAAAGCUUUGUUUUGUGUUAUGAGCUAUGAACAUCUGACUGUUAUCAUCUGAAGAUGGAUCAAUUUUGGUAGAGAUAAAGGUUAAACCGAUUUCUCUAUAGCAGAUCUGCGAAGCUCAGAAAUGUGGUAAUAAGUUAUCGGUUAAAUGGGUAUAGUGUACAGAUGAUUUCUGACUAAACAUUUCGGAUUGGAUAUGAUGGUUGUUUGCAAUUUAGAAAUAAAAGUUGAACAGAGGGAUUCAGAACUUAUACAGGAGAAUUUGCGUGAAAUUAUAGUAGUACUAUGUCUAUGCAUUCUGGAAGAAUAAGAUGUACAGUGAUUUGAGAUAGAUGUGUUGAAGACUAGGAAAAGAAAAGUAAUACUUUGAAAUUGUAUGUAAAUGUUUAUAUCAGAUACAGAUACCUUCAGAACUGUUACAACUGGAAAGGAUAUCAAAAUGAAAAUGGGAUAUAAUUUCUAUGGGUUUGAAUUGGAAUUAUCUCGAUCUUCAAAAAAAGAAAGACGGUAUUUGAAUAAUCGUCGAAGGUAUGGCAAAGUCUGCAUAUUCUAUUCAGGUAUGAAUACAUUUCUUACUUAAUAAUUGUCUAAAAUAUAGGUUUCUGAGAUUAUCAGAUUACAUGGUAUGAUGGUUUCUAUUAUUUCUGAUUGAGAUACGUGGUUUAUACUCUGAUUAUAGAACAAGUACAAGAAGUUCUGGGUACGUGAUAACAAUUUUCAGCGUUGUAUGAAGUUCUGAAUGAUUAUGAAUAUAAAAUUGCAUGGGAUCUGAUUGAAUACUAUGAGAAAAGAAUAUACGGAGCUGGUUGAUUCGUGAAACUAAAGAAAAAUGAAAAUAAUUCGAGAUAGUUUAAAAACAGUAUUUGAUUGUCAGAAAUUCUAUAUGGAAAUUGAACGAAAGUGAUUCGAGAUAGACUGAAAGCAGUUUUGUCAGUCAGAAAUUAUAUAUAGACUUGAAACGUUGGGAUAUUGAGUAUUUUGUUAGUGAUAUGGUAUUUCUUACAGAUUCACCUUGGAAGAAAAUUUUGAAGAUCAGGUUGAAAGAGAAAUUAAGUUCUUAUUCUGUUGGGCUAUGAAGUUGUAGAAAAGUCAGACCGGUAAAAUAUUGUUUGGUUUUGCUUCUGAAGUUACAGAAAGUUUAUGAUAAUUUUUCAUGAUUUGAAGCUUAGAAGAUGAUAUAGAUCAGAUCUCUUGCAUGUUAUAUCGACAAAGGAUAUUGAGAUUUGAUGUAAUCUAUAGUAUGAAAAAGAGCCGGUUGAGAUACUAGCCUGAGCGAUAAUGUCAUAAUAUUGAGGAAGCAAUACGGGAACCGAGAGAAACAGCGAGAUCUUUGUAUUUAUACCCCCACCUCUCUCAGGUAAAUUUCGAGGACGAAAUUUAUAAAAGAGGGGGAGAAAUGUAACGACCCGAAUUUUAAGGUUAUCAGAAAAAUAUAUUUUCGGGUCUCCGUUUCUGAAAAAACGGAUUAGUAAAUAAUUAUUAAAAAUAUUUAUGAAGUUAGUCGAGUGGUUAAUUAGAGUUUAAUGAAGUAAAUUUAGCUUAAUUAAGGAUAAAUGGAUAAAAUGAUUAAAUUGAAUGAAGUGUGAAAGUUUAAUUAUAGAAUAAAGAAAAUUGAGGGGAUUAAAUAAGCAAAUAAGCCAAAGUGAGUGUCAAGUGUGUGAUAAAAAUAAAAUACAUGUGUGAUAAAUAAUGUACAUACAUUUGUAAUACAUGUAUGUAUUUACUUAUUAUUUAAGUAAGUAUUAAUGUAUUUAUUAUUAUUAAAUUGAUAUUAUAUGAUAAAUAAAUAAAAGAAAGACAAGUGUAUGAAAAUGAUUUGAUAUAAGUGUAUAAAUAAAAAUAUACACAUUUGUAAUACAAGUAUUUGAUAAUAAAUAGAUAUUUAUUUAAAUAUUAAAUUAUUGGUAUAAUUAUUAAUUAAUAUUAAUAUUAUAUUAUAUUAUAUUAUAUUAUAUUAUAUUAUAUUAUGAAAUAAAUUAAAAUAGUGACAAAUGUGUGGUAAUUAUAAAAUACAUGUAUAAUAAAUUGAAUACAUACAUUUGUAAUAUGUAUAUUAAAUUAUUAGUAGAUAUUUAUUAUUUAUAAAAGAUAUUUAUUAAUUAAAUAUUUAUAUUAUAAUAUUUUUAUGUAAUAAAUAUAUUAAAUUAUGACAAGUGUGUGGAUAAUAAAUGAAUACAAAUGUAAAAUAAAUAUUUGAUAUUAAUUAGAUAUUUAUUAAGUUAACAUAUUAUAUAUAUAAAGUAAAACAAAAGAAAAAGAAAUGAAAAAAAAAGAUAGAAAAGAAACAGAAUGAAACAAAACAGAGAGCAAGGAAAGAAAGAAAAGAAAGAAAGGGAGAAAAGGGAAAUUUGAGAUUUCAAGGUUUGAAUUUAAUUGGUAAGUAAAUUUAGCCCUUUUUACUUAAUUUUGAUGUUUUAGAAGCUUUGGAAUAAGAUUUUGAUGAAAUUAAGUUGAUAUUUUGAAAGUUAUUAGAUUUCUAGAUAAUGUUCAUGUUGAGUAAAAUGAUGAAUUAAGGGCUAAAUUGAUAGAAAUUCAAGUUAGAAAUGAAAUAAGGAUUGAAUUGUAAAGUGAUUCAUAAGUUUUAUGCUUUAAGGACUAAAUUGAAAGAAUUUCAAAAUUAUUGUUUUAUGAUGAAAAAUAGAUAAUUAUGUCUAAGUUUGGUUAAAAAUUGAGUAGAAAUAAAGUAUGUAUUAAGAUAGAAAAGUAAGUGAAUUUAGUUAGGAUUAAAUUGAAAUUAAAAGUAAAAAAUCAACAUUUUGCACUAAGACUAUUUUGGACAGCAACAGUAGUCUAAGUUUGAAAAAUCACCAAAAAUUUUAGAAAUUUAAGAGGAUGAAUAAAAUAUGGAAUUAAAACUUAUUGAGUCUAGUUUCUUAUAGAAGAAACGGUAUAAGAAAUUAAAUUGUAAAUUAUGAGAUAUAAUGAAUUUUGUGAGACAAGUUCAGAAUGAAUUUGGGUUCCUCUGUUCUGACUCUGGAAAAUCACCAAAAAUUGGAGAAAAAUAAUUAUAGGCUUAAAGUUAUGUGUUUAGAAUCCCUAAUGAGUCUAUUUUCAGGAGAAAUCAACGGGAAUAUUAUCUGAGUUCUGUACUGUGAGAUAAUUAAUUUUUAGUGAAGAAGGGUGGAAACUGUCAGACAGCAGAAUAGGGGUGAAUUUAAAGAAUAAACUGUACUUAAUGGCUAAACCAAAAAUUCUGAAAAUUUUAUGGUAAGAAGAUUUGUGAGUCUAGUUUCAGGAAAAAUUAGCGGAUCUUAAUUUAGAAUUUUGUAACUCAAGAUAUAAAUUAGUAAUGUAUUAAUGAUUAUGAAUUGUAUUAAUUUCAUAGUCAAUGUGGUACCGGAAAUCUCGGCUAAGAAAGGACAAGACAAAGUCAACGGGAGUUAGCUCGAAAAUUACGGUUUGUAUUUCUAUAACUCGAACUUAAUAUUUAAUUAUUGAAUUUAUUAUUUAUUAUGUAUGGUAGGUUCAUUGAUUAAAUUAUUUGUAAUAAAAUGAAUAUUGAUUGAAAUUGAAGGGUGAAUUUAAUUAAUAACUGUUGUAUUUUAAUUGAAUAUUAUGGUAAAUAAUUAAAGUAUGAAUUAUUGGUAUUGUGUUUUUAUUGAAAUGAUUUGAUUUGAAAAUAUGGUAAAAUAAUUAUGAACAUGUGUUUAUUGUGAAAUUGAAUAUUUAUUAGUGAAAAGUGAAUGGAAUUAUAUUGAAUUGAAAAAAAAUAUAAUUAAUUAAUUAAAAUAUGAAUUAAUUGAAAACUGAAAAGUGAAUUAAAUACCCUAUUAACUAGUCGGGCUAGUCGGAUAUAGUUGGCAUGCCAUAGGAUAUGAAAGAGUACGGGUUUUUGCCGACUUACUGAUCAGGCAAUUAUGUGCCGACUACUGUUACUGUUACCGUUACUGUUACCGAUUCGGCACUUUGUGUGUCGGAUAUUGUUACUGUUACCGUUACUGUUACUGUUUCAGAUUUGUUCCAAUGAGGUACUCUGUGUACCGUACUGUUACUGUUCCGGAUUUGUUCUGAUGAGGUACUCUGUGUACCGUAUUGCUACUGUUACUGUUACUAUUUCGGCUUCGGCCGAUGAGGCACUAUGUGCCGUAUUGGUGUGUUGGUUGGAUCCGUGUAUCCGUCUGAGUCCUAGUCAUGUUAAUAGGGGUAAAUAAAGGAACUGGAAAGAUCGACUGUUACUGAAUAAUUUAAUUGUUACUCAAUAACUGAUUAUUAUUGAAUAAUUGAUUGUUACCGAAUAACUGACUGUUACUGAAUAAAUAAUCGUUCUGAUUGACUGGUUGUUAAUGAAUAUUACUGAUUGAUUAAUUGCUAUUGAAAAAUAAUAAAUGAUUUUUAAUUUAAAGUAGACCAAAACAUUGGUUGGAAAGUGAAUGUUUGAAUACUCAUUGAGUUUGAAUAGUUCAAUAUAUAAAAAUUAAUAUGUUUUAUAAGUGUUUAAGUGUUCGGAUUAUAGAAAUAUCACUGAGUGUAUACUCAGCGUACGGUUUGUUUCCGUGCGCAGGUUAAGGUUAGACCGUUGAAUCAGCAUCCCAGGCCGAUCCCGAAUUCAAUGAGGUAAAGUAUGUUGAGUAUUGGUAAUGGCAUGUACCUAGGAUGUCUUAUGAGAGUCAUUUAGGUUGUGAAAGUAUUGAUAAAAUAAGUAAAUUAUGGUUGGCAAUUGUAUAUAGUAUGAAUUUGAAAUUUGAAAGAAAAAUUCGUUGUAAUUCAAAAUUAGUUCCGAAUUGAUUUUACUGUUUAUAUUAGACCGCGAGGGCCCAUUAAAGGGACGACAUCUUAAAAUUAUGAUGAGUCUGAACGUUUAUAUUUAAUUAAUGUUUGUAUUGUACUGUACUGACUGGUAAUGUCUCGUAACCCUGUUCCGGCGACGGUAUGAGGUUAGGGGACGUUACACUGAUGUUACAGCGGGGUAAGCUUGUCGAGCAAAAUGUGAUUGUUUUUUUUGAGUUUUUUGUUAAGAAUACCAGCUGAGCAAGAUGGCAGCGUAAUAUGUCAGUGAUAAGGCGCUAAUAGACAACGAGCGAUGAUACCUCAAGCAUUUAAAAAAGGAUCAUUCUCAUAUCUGCAUUCAUAUAUCAUUCAUAAAACAUCUAGUUAGGAGCAUAUAGCAUCCUAAGCAUUUGGCAUAAGCAUAGGUACAUGAAACGGAUUCUACAUAUCAUGUCUUUAGAGGACGGUGUAGCAACAUCGGUGAAUUCACAGAUCUUAUCUCCCUGAGAUAGCAGUGGAGCAGAUUGAAUACAGUGAAUCUUAUUUUCCCGAGGUAGCAGGGGAGUCGAUUUUAGCCACUAGCCUUAUUUCCCUAAGGUAGCAAUGGAGCAGGCUGAAGAUUGUGGUUUUAUCUUCCUGAGGUAGCAAGGAAGCAGAUUGAAGAUUAAAGAUCUCAUCUCUUUGAGAUAGCAGUGGAGCAGAUCGAAGACGGCGAAUCUUAUCUUCUCGAGGUAGUAGGGGAGCAGAUUUUAGUCACUAGCCUUAUCUCCAUGAGGUAGCAAAGGAGCAGGCUGAAGAUUGUGGUCUUAUCUUCCUGAGGUAGCAAGGAAGCAGACUGAAGAUUGAAGAUCUCAUCUCCCUGAGAUAGUAGUGGAGCAGAUCGAAGACGGCGAAUCUUAUCUUUCUGAGGUAGCAAGGGAGCAGAUUUUAGCCACUAGCCUUCUCUCCCUGAGGUAGCAAGGGAGCAGGCUGAAGAUUGUAGUCUUAUCUUCCUGAGGCAGCAAGGAAGAAGAUUGAAGAUUGAAGAUCUCAUCUCCCUGAGAUAGCAGUGGAGCAGAUCGAAGACAGUGAAUCUUAUCUUCCUAAGGUAGCAGGGGAGCAGAUUUUAGCCACUAGCCUUAUCUCCCUAAGGUAGUAAGAGAGCAGGCCGAAGAUUGUAGCCUUAUCUUCUUGAAGUAGCAAGGAAGUAGACUGAAGAUUGAAGAUCUUAUCUCCCUAAGAUGGCAGUGGAGCAGAUCGAAGACGACGAAUCUUAUCUUUCCGAGGUAGCAGGGGAGCAGAUUUUAGCCACUAGCCUUAUCUCCCUAAGGUAGCAAGAGAGCAGAUUGAAGAUUGUAGUCUUAUCUUCCUCAGAUAGCAAGAAAAUAGAAUGAAGAUUGAAGAUCUCAUCUCCCUGAGAUAGCAGUGGAGCAAAUCGAAGACGGCGACUCUUAUUUUCCCGAGGUAGCAGGGGAGCAGAUUUUAGCCAUUAGCCUUAUCUCCCUGAGGUAACAAGGGAGCAGGUCGAAGGUUGUAGUCUUAUCUCCCUGAGGUAGCAAUGAAGCAAACUGAAAAUGGUAGAUCUUAUCUCUCUAAAGUUAAAGUUGAGCAGAUCAAAGCAAGUCUUAUCUCCCUGAAGUCGCAGCGGAGCAGACUGAAGAUUGUAGAUCUUAUCUCCCUAAGCAGUAAUGGAACAGAUCAAAGAUGGCAAAUCUUAUCUUUCUGAGGUAGUAGGGGAGCAGAUUUUUUUCACUAGCCUUAUCUCUCUAAGGUAGUAAGAGAGCAGGUUGACGAUUGUAGUCUUAUCUCCCUACAGAUCAGAGACGGCGAAUCUUAUCUCCAUGAGGUAGCAAUGGAGCAGAUUGAAGCCACUAGCCUUAUAUCCCUGAAAUUACAGUGGAGCAGGUUGAAAUAACCAAUCUUCUUGAGGUUCCAGUGGAGUAGAUUUAAGCGCUAUUCCCUUGAAGACGCAGUAGGAUAGAAGAGGGCUACUUGAGAAAAAGAAAUGCCAAGAAGUCAAGAUUCAGCAAAAUCGGGCAAAAUCGGUCCUUUUAAAGUCUUUGCUUUAUUCUUGUUACACAACAAUCAGUAAAGAGGGGCAGCUUUAGAAUGCCCAUUUUGCCCGGGCCUUUAAAUUUAUUUACAACAAAUAAAUAAACCAAACAAAAAAAUAUAAAUUAAAUUGUUUGUAGUCCAUAAAAUACAAGCCCAAAUCUUGAGGCCCAAACCAAAAAUAAACCCAACCUCAGACCCAAACAAACAACCCAAAUCCCAGCCCAAAACCUAAAAACCUUUCAGCAAACCCUAGCUAGACUAGCACCGCAGACCUCCAGACGUACCACCAUGCGCGCCUUCGUACGGCCAUCUCCACGUUUGCCGAACAUGCCAGAAUGAGUAACAAAAUACAAAAAAUACACAGCAGUGGCAGAGAAAUAACAGAAAAAGAAAAUUAAUUUUUUGUAAUUUCAUUUUCAUUCCGAUUUGGCUAUAAAAGGCCAAGAUAAUCAGUGUAAAAGAUAUGAAUACAUACAAACGAACAAAGAAAUAUAUAGAUAGAUAAAAAGGUGAUUUAUUGAUGGAUUCUUGGUUUUUUUCUUUUAUUUCUUUCUUUAUUUUGAAUUUAUCUGAUGAAUAUGCAAAAAGAAAAAGUAAAAGGUUUUCUUAUCUGUUGUUUGGAGUCAAUCUAGCCAACAUUUGCUUCUCC